AAGCAAGGGCUCUGUCGUGAGUGGCACACAUAGGACAGCUACACUAUUCUUCCUAUGGAAUCAACAUUAAUGUAUUUCAGAACCAUAAUUUUUUGGUACCUGGAUACCUGAUGACCAUUGGUCCUGGCACCCCA
rnacentral:snRNA from 1 species